UGGGGAAUUUUGCACAAUGGGGGAAACCCUGAUGCAGCGACGCCGCGUGAUUUAGAAGGCCUUCGGGUUGUAAAAAUCUUUUGUAUAGGAAGAAAAUGACAGUACUAUACGAAUAAGGACCGGCUAAUUACGUGCCAGCAGCCGCGGUAAUACGUAAGGUCCGAGCGUUGUCCGGAAUCAUUGGGCGUAAAGGGUACGUAGGCGGGUAAGCAAGUUAGAAGUGAAAUCCUAUAGCUCAACUAUAGUAAGCUUUUAAAACUGCUCAUCUUGAGGUAUGGAAGGGAAAGUGGAAUUCCUAGUGUAGCGGUGAAAUGCGCAGAUAUUAGGAGGAAUACCAGUAGCGAAGGCGACUUUCUGGACACAAACUGACGCUGAGGUACGAAAGCGUGGGGAGCAAACAGG
rnacentral:rRNA from 1 species